ACUCCUACGGGAGGCAGCAGUAGGGAAUCUUCCACAAUGGGCGCAAGCCUGAUGGAGCAACACCGCGUGAGUGAAGAAGGGUUUCGGCUCGUAAAGCUCUGUUGUUAAAGAAGAACACGUAUGAGAGUAACUGUUCAUACGUUGACGGUAUUUAACCAGAAAGUCACGGCUAACUACGUGCCAGCAGCCGCGGUAAUACGUAGGUGGCAAGCGUUAUCCGGAUUUAUUGGGGCGUAAAGAGAGUGCAGGCGGUUUUCUAAGUCUGAUGUGAAAGCCUUCGGCUUAACCGGAGAAGUGCAUCGGAAACUGGAUAACUUGAGUGCAGAAGAGGGUAGUGGAACUCCAUGUGUAGCGGUGGAAUGCGUAGAUAUAUGGAAGAACACCAGUGGCGAAGGCGGCUACCUGGUCUGCAACUGACGCUGAGACUCGAAAGCAUGGGGUAGCGAACAGGAUUAGAUACCCUGGUAGGAUAGCG
rnacentral:rRNA from 1 species